UAAGUUCAUUGUGCCUGACCAUUUCUUUUUUGGUUUCAGAUGUGACACAUUGAAGGAUUACUGGUACAUUGGAGAAAACUGAAUUCCUGGUCCAUACGUUGACUGUCACCAUCGUGACAGUAGUGGUGGUUCUGAUAAUCAUAGUCACAUUGAUAGUACUGACUGUGUAUUGUACAAGAUACCAACAUAUGGUCAAGCAAAACCAUUCAUCAAGGAAAUGUGACUUAUGCCAUCAGAGUGACAGUAAAAAUAGAGAACAGGAAUUACUCCAUUGAACUGGCAAACAGAUCAUCUGAAACAUUCUCAAAGGAGUUUAAGGAACAGGACGAAGACCCCAAAUCAGAUAUUGAAAUGGUGGGAGGAGGACAACUGGGAGUGGCGUGUAUCCCAAGGUUUAACUCUCAGCAACCUUGCUACUGCAAAUGUUCACGAUACUCAGAACUGAAGAGCCAUUCGCCAGAACAGAGGACAUGAACUCACCUUUCAGGAUCAAAAUGGUGAGGCUGCAGAUGACGGAAGCAUACACUGUUUAAGUUCUCCUGGUCUGAUUAACACCUCACCUUCUCCACUCCAGAAACCAUGCAUCAGACUGACAAACAGAACUGGUCUGCAACGAUCUGAUUACGACAUCAUGUGGAACCAUUUUUUUUCUUUCCUUGAUUUAGUUCCAUUAAAAGAUCACAGUUAAUUAUUUGUUAUAUUUGGUUUUGAUCUUAAGGCCAGGAAGCUUGCAUGAAAAUCAGUGGGGGUCAAUUACCGUGUGUGUCCCAUAGGAUAUCAAAUUAACUUGUCAAGGGUGAAGGGAAGGGACAUUCCUGCAAUGGAAUACCUGAUGGUAAUUAGGUGUGGGGUUUCAGGCUGGUUCCUUCCCUUAUCCCUGGUGCUGAAUCCACCUUUGGUAUCCCUCAUGCUG